UACGUAGGGUGCAAGCGUUAAUCGGAAUUACUGGGCGUAAAGCGUGCGCAGGCGGUUUUGUAAGACAGAUGUGAAAUGCCCGGGCUUAACCUGGGAACUGCAUUUGUGACUGCAAGGCUAGAAUCUGGCAGAGGGGGGUAGAAUUCCACGUGUAGCAGUGAAAUGCGUAGAUAUGUGGAGGAAUACCGAUGGCGAAGGCAGCCCCCUGGGCUAAGAUUGACGCUCAUGCACCGAAAGCGUGGGGAGCAAACAGG
rnacentral:rRNA from 1 species